AGAGCGAACGCUGGCGGCAGGCCUAAUACAUGCAAGUCGAGCGCACCUUCGGGUGAGCGGCGGACGGGUGAGUAACGCGUGGGAAUGUGCCCUUUGGUACGGAACAACUGAGGGAAACUUCAGCUAAUACCGUAUGUGCCCUUCGGGGGAAAGAUUUAUCGCCAUUGGAGCAGCCCGCGUUGGAUUAGGUAGUUGGUGAGGUAAAGGCUCACCAAGCCUACGAUCCAUAGCUGGUCUGAGAGGAUGAUCAGCCACACUGGGACUGAGACACGGCCCAGACUCCUACGGGAGGCAGCAGUAGGGAAUCUUGCGCAAUGGGCGAAAGCCUGACGCAGCCAUGCCGCGUGAAUGAUGAAGGUCUUAGGAUUGUAAAAUUCUUCACCGGGGAAGAUAAUGACGGUACCCGGAGAAGAGCCCGGCUAACUUCGCGCCAGCAGCCGC
rnacentral:rRNA from 1 species